rnacentral:tRNA from 1 species
AGUGUGCGUAAUUUUAAAAAAAUAUCAAGUUGUGACCUUGAAAAUUGACAACCUCGCACA